GCAGACGGUGCCAAGAAAAAACAUAAAAAGAAGAAGAAGAAGAAAUCAUCGGCCGCUUCUAAUCAUUCAGGUGAAAACAUUGAUACUCAGAACUUUACUGCUGCUAACUGUAAGAAACGUAAGAGGAAGACUUCUAAUGCGGAAUAUUCUCAAGAAUCUGGAGAUGUCCAAGAGAGCGUGGAAACUGGAAAGCAUAAUGAAUUGGUCGGCAGCAAUAAAAAACGUAAAAUUUCGCAUAAUGAAGAUAACACAUCAGGU